AACGAACGCUGGCGGCGUGGAUUAGGCAUGCAAGUCGAACGCGAAAUGCGGAGGGGUAACUCUCUGCAAAGUAGAGUGGCGAACGGGUGAGUAACGCGUGAGAAACCUGCCUUCAUCAGGGGGAUAACACUCCUAACGGAGUGCUAAUACCGCAUGAGACCACGGGAUCGCAUGGUCCUGAGGUCAAAGGUGGCCUCUAUUUAUAAGCUACCGGAUGAAGAUGGUCCGCGUCCCAUUAGCUAGUUGGCGGGGUAAUGGCCCACCAAGGCGACGAUGGGUAGCUGGUCUGAGAGGGAUGGUCAGCCACACUGGGACUGAGAUACGGCCCAGACUCCUACGGGAGGCAGCAGUCGAGAGGCUUCGGCAAUGGGGAAACCCUGACCGAGCGACGCCGCGUGGGGAUG
rnacentral:rRNA from 1 species